CCCUUAGAUGUUCUGGGCCGCACACGCGCUACACUGAAGGAGGCAGCGUGUACUCCUGGAUCGAAAGAUUUGGGUAACCCGCGAAUCUCCUUCGUGCUAGGGAUUGAGGUUUGCAAUUAUCCUUCAUGAACGAGGAAUUCCCAGUAAGUGCAAGUCAUAAGCUUGCGCUGACUACGUCCCUGCCCUUUGUACACACCGCCCGUCACUACUACCGAUUGAAUGAUUUAGUGAGGACUUCGGACUGGGACCGAUGCGGCUUUCGGGCUGCGUCGGUAUUCUGGAAAGAUGUCCAAACUGUAUCAUUUAGAGGAAGUAAAANUCGUANCA
rnacentral:rRNA from 1 species